rnacentral:rRNA from 1 species
CCUACGGGAGGCAGCAGUGGGGAAUAUUGGGCAAUGGGCGCAAGCCUGACCCAGCAACGCCGCGUGAAGGAAGAAGGCUUUCGGGUUGUAAACUUCUUUUCUCAGGGACGAAGCAAGUGACGGUACCUGAGGAAUAAGCUACGGCUAACUACGUGCCAGCAGCCGCGGUAAUACGUAGGUGGCAAGCGUUAUGCGGAUUUACUGGGUGGAAAGGGCGUGUAGGCGGGUCUGCAAGUCAGAUGUGAAAACCAUGGGCUCAACCUAUGGCCUGCAUUUGAAACUGUAGUUCUUGAGUACUGUAGAGGUAGGCGGAAUUCCUGGUGUAGCGGUGAAAUGCGUAGAUAUUAGGAAGAACACCAGUGGCGAAGGCAGUCUGCUGGACAGCAACUGACGCUGAGGCGCGAAAGCGUGGGGAGCAAACAGGAUUAGAUACCCCUGUAGUC